rnacentral:rRNA from 1 species
CAGGGCUACACACGUGCUACAAUGGCGCAUACAAAGAGAAGCGACCUCGCGAGAGCAAGCGGACCUCAUAAAGUGCGUCGUAGUCCGGAUUGGAGUCUGCAACUCGACUCCAUGAAGUCGGAAUCGCUAGUAAUCGUGGAUCAGAAUGCCACGGUGAAUACGUUCCCGGGCCUUGUACACACCGCCCGUCACACCAUGGGAGUGGGUUGCAAAAGAAGUAGGUAGCUUAACCUUCGGGAGGGCGCUUACCACUUUGUGAUUCAUGACUGGGGUGAAGUCGUAACAAGGUAACCGUAGGGGAACCUGCGGUUGGA